rnacentral:rRNA from 1 species
CCUACGGGGCGCAGCAGUAGGGAAUCUUCCACAAUGGACGAAAGUCUGAUGGAGCAACGCCGCGUGAGUGAAGAAGGGUUUUGGCUCGUAAAGCUCUGUUGGUAGUGAAGAAAGAUAGAGGGAGUAACUGGCCUUUAUUUGACGGUAAUUACUUAGAAAGUCACGGCUAACUACGUGCCAGCAGCCGCGGUAAUACGUAGGUGGCAAGCGUUGUCCGGAUUUAUUGGGCGUAAAGCGAGUGCAGGCGGUUCAAUAAGUCUGAUGUGAAAGCCUUCGGGCUAACCGGAGAAAU